rfam:Triticum aestivum genome assembly, contig: Triticum_aestivum_CS42_TGACv1_scaffold_114092_2AS
CUUGUACUCCUUCCGUCCGAAAAUAUUUGUCAUUAAAAUGGAUAAAAAGAUAUGUAUCUAUAACUAAAAUACAUCUAGAUACAUCCCCUUUUAUCCAUUUUGAUGACAAGUAUUUCCAGACGGAGUGAGUAUAUU